UACGGAGGGGGCUAGCGUUGUUCGGAAUUACUGGGCGUAAAGCGCACGUAGGCGGCUUUGUAAGUUAGAGGUGAAAGCCCGGGGCUCAACUCCGGAAUUGCCUUUAAGACUGCAUCGCUAGAAUUGUGGAGAGGUAAGUGGAAUUCCGAGUGUAGAGGUGAAAUUCGUAGAUAUUCGGAGGAACACCAGUGGCGAAGGCGGCUCACUGGUCCACUACUGACGCUGAGGUGCGAAAGCGUGGGGAGCAAACAGG
rnacentral:rRNA from 1 species